AUACGGAGGAUGCAAGCGUUAUCCGGAUUUAUUGGGUUUAAAGGGUGCGUAGGCGGAUGAUUAAGCGUGAGGUGAAAUGCCACUGCUCAACAGUGGAACUGCCUCGCGAACUGGUUGUCUUGAAUGCUCCUGCCGUGGGAGGAAUGUGUGGUGUAGCGGUGAAAUGCAUAGAGAUCACGCAGAACACCGAUUGCGAAGGCAUCUCACGAAGGGGUGAUUGACGCUGAGGCACGAAAGCGUGGGGAUCAAACAGGAUUAGAUACCCUGGUAGUCCACGCAGUAAACGAUGAUAACUAACCGCUGGGUCGUAGUGAUUCAGUGGCCAAGCUAAAGCGAUAAGUAAUCCACCUGGGGAGUACGGCCGCAAGGUUGAAACUCAAAGGAAUUGACGGGG
rnacentral:rRNA from 1 species